GCCUAAAGCCCCUUUCUCAGCUUGCCACAAUAAACCAGAGCAAGGUUUAGUCUUUACUGGGUCACCGGCCAUCCUCUAUUAUUCAACACUUCACAACAAAAAACACUUAUUAAUCAGCGCUGACCAGAGGCCCCUUUUGAAACAAGAGAAGAGGGGAGAGAGGGGGGAGAGAGAGAGGUGAAAAGAAGAUUGAGAAGCCCCGGACAGAGCUUUCUAAAGCCAGAGCAACCAUAGGGUACCUUCCUCCAGUGGCCAAAGUUUAUUUGACACAACAAAGUUUCUAAUCAGGCCACGGAGACCUGGAUUUCUCCUCAUUUGCCUUACUCCCCUUCUCUUCCUCUGAAGAUGUUGGAGACUUUGUUGCGAGGAAGGAUGGCUUUAGGUCAAAUUGCUAAGGCCUGAUCUUAAAGAUCUAAUUGCUAUUGGAAGAGAAGCCUGUUUCCCAGCUGGGCCUCCACUCUGGAGAUGGCGCAAGGAAGACUGUCCAGCUCUGCCCUGGGCACCCCGCUGAUGGAUGAGGUGUCAGGCCAGUAGUCAUGUGAGGACUGGUUUCCAAAUGAUUUGUUGUCAGUGUCACAAUCUGAUAGAAAACUUCUGAUGGCUUUGGAGAUAACAAGAAACAGAGACAUGGUACCUGUGAACUCUUUGAGUUCUCUGUCUUCCAUGCCAUUUCUGAUGGCCAUGGCCAAGAUAAUCUUCAAGGAAAAUUCUGGAUGUGGUGCUGGCAAGAGAGACAAAUGUCCACAUUUAAAAAAUGGCAAUUGGUAUCCUGGCAAUUUCCAAAAGUGAUCACAGAGAUGCAUUUACCAAAAUUCGAAUUAUGGGGAAAAUUGGCAGAAUGAAAUUCCCAAUUUCUUCAACUUCAGACUGAAAGAAGUAAAGAAGAAGAUAGAGGAGCAA
rnacentral:lncRNA from 1 species